UACAGAGGUCUCAAGCGUUGUUCGGAUUCAUUGGGCGUAAAGGGUGCGUAGGUGGCGCGCUAAGUCAGGUGUGAAAUUUCGGAGCUUAACUCCGAAACUGCAUUUGAUACUGGCGUGCUUGAGGACUGGAGAGGAGACUGGAAUUCGAUGGUGUAGCAGUGAAAUGCGUAGAGAUCAUGAGGAAGACCAGUGGCGAAGGCGGGUCUCUGGACAGUUCCUGACACUGAGGCACGAAGGCCAGGGGAGCAAACGGG
rnacentral:rRNA from 1 species